AUUUUUUAUUUCUUUGUUGAUUUGCUGGCUGUCUGGAUUGGCUCCCAAGGUUGCGAUUCGGGCAGCAGCACGUGUUUUUCACUUGCGAUUCUGGGUUCAUCACGUUCUUCAAGUCUAUAUUCUCUAGCUACAUAGUUGUUUUCUCUCUGUUCAUCGAUAGUUCUAUUUUGUGUCAGAUUUUUUAUUUCUUUGUUGAUUUGCUGGCUGUCUGGAUUGGCUCCCAAGGUUGCGAUUUGGGCAGCAGCACGUUUUUUUCACUUGCGAUUCUGGGUUCAUCACGUUCUUCAAGUCUAUAUUCACUAGAUACAUAGUUGUUUUCGCUCUGUUCAUCGAUAGUUCUAUUUUGUGUCAGAUUUUUUAUUUCUUUGUUGAUUUGCUGGCUGUCUGGAUUGGCUCCCAAGGUUGCGAUUCGGGCAGCAGCAUCUUUUUUUCACUUGCGGUUCUGGGUUCAUCACGUUCUUCAAGUCUAUAUUCUCUAGCUACAUAGUUGUUUUCUCUCUGUUCAUCCAUAGUUCAAUUUUCAAUUCAUAGAGGGCGACAAGGUAUUGACGAGGGCUGCUGAGCGGGCUACAUGGCACUCGACCUCCAUACAAGCGUGUAGUCAUCGGAUAUAUCUCUUAGCCUUUUGUGUUGGAUUUUUUUAUUUCUUUGUUGAUUUGCUGGCUGUCUGGAUUGGCUCCCAAGGUUGUGAUUCGGGCAGCAGCACGUUUUUUUCACUUGCGAUUCUGGGUUCAUCACGUUCUUCAAGUCUAUAUUCUCUAGCUACAUAGUUGUUUUCUCUCUGUUCAUCGAUAGUUCUGUUUUGUGUCAGAUGUUUUAUUUCUUUGUUGAUUUGCUGGCUGUCUGGAUUGGCGCCCAAGGUUGCGAUUCGGGCAGCAGCAUGUUUUUUUCACUCGCGAUUCUGGGUUCAUCACGUUCUUCAAGUCUAUAUUCUCUAGCUACAUAGUUGUUUUCUCUCUGUUCAUCGAUAGUUCUGUUUUGUGUCAGAUUUUUUAUUUCUUUGUUGAUUUGCUGGCUGUCUGGAUGGCUCCCAAGGGUGCGAUUCGGGCAGCAGCACGUAUUUUUCACUUGCGAUUCUGGGUUCAUCACGUUCUUCAAGUCUAUAUUCUCUAGCUACGUAGUUGUUUUCUCUCUGUUCAUCCAUAGUUCAAUUUUCAAUUCAUAGAGGGCGACAAGGUAUUGACGAGGGCUGCUGAGCGGGCUACAUGGCACUCGACCUCCAUACAAGCCAGUAGUCAUCGGAUAUAUCUCUUAGCCUUUUGUGUUGGAUUUUUUUAUUUCUUUGUUGAUUUGCUGGCUGUCUGGAUGGCCGGCAAGGGUGCGAUUCGGGCAGCAGCACGCGUUUUUCACUUGCGAUUCUGGGUUCAUCACGUUCUUUAAGUCUACAUUCUCUAGCUGCAUAGUUGUUUUCUCUCUGUUCAUCGAUAGUUCUAUUUUGUGUCAGAUUUUUUAUUUCUUUGUUGAUUUGCUGGCUGUCUGGAUUGGCUCCCAAGGUUGCGAUUCGGGCAGCAGCACGUGUUUUUCACUUGCGAUUCUGGGUUCAUCACGUUCUUCAAGUCUAUAUUCUCUAGCUACAUAGUUGUUUUCUCUCUGUUCAUCGAUAGUUCUAUUUUGUGUCAGAUUUUUUAUUUCUUUGUUGAUUUGCUGGCUGUCUGGAUCGUCUCCGAAGGGUGCGAUUUGGGCAGCAGCACGUUUUUUUCACUUGCGAUUCUGGGUUCAUCACGUUCCUUAAGUCUAUAUUCUACGCUGCAUAGCCUGUAAGUGUUCUGAGUUAUAGUGGCACAGUGGUAUGUAUUGGCUGGACAUAGUAUUAACAUUACAUCUGAAAUCACUAUCAAACCAACUGGCACACACUCUAACUCGAAAAAAACAAACACAUUGACAUAAAGAAAUGAGACAAGGAUGAAGAAGCAGCUCCGAGGACAUCAGCAGUGCAGUUCCGGAGAUGCAGAUGCAGAGAGGAUAUUCAGCCACCAACAGUGAAGACCGUUACAGCAACGAAAACACUGUCCGAAAGGUGUCAGAAAGGAAGAAAUUGGGUAAAUGUUGCAUUACACAUGACUGUUGGUAAUAUGACAUUCAACUUUUCCCUUUUUUUUACUAUGAUCAUUAUUAUGCCUUUAAUAUUUUUUCUUAAGUUAGUUCCUCAAAUUAUGCCCAGUGCCUAAUCGUGCAUUUGUUUUCUCACGACAUGACACCCACAUGAGGUCCUGCCUGACUACAUCAUAAAUGUAUGCAGAUCAACACCGUAAAGUUAAGUACUCUUCUUCAACGUAAUAGAAAUGUGUUUUUCCUCUUUGGUCUGAAAUAACAUAUUAUUGCAGUUAUGUUUUCCCUGUCUUCUCUGUAAAAUCACUGCCAUAACCGUGACAAUGGUGAGAGACUUCAAUGAGGACAGCAACAGUUCCAGUGAGGGACCCAAAUGGGGCUGGCAAGGAGAAGAACCAGGUUCGUCAGUCAGGACAGAAGACGGCUCCAGUGAAGAAUCCGCAUUCGCCACAAGAAACCAGAACCAGAGGGAGACUCCAGACUGACAUGUCAUAGGACAGCAGCAGUUUUAUAAAAACCAGAUGAUACGGAGGCAGAAUCAAUGAUCAGUUAAACGAGUACAGCAAUAGUGGUAAUGACGGACAAGAGGAUCAUCAGCGAGAACCCAAGUUACAACUGCAACUUUCCAGAGAACAGGAGUGAAGAGGCAAUAUCACAACACAAAAUACAGGGGAAAAGAGGAAGAUGACUGGAUUGUACCCAAAUGUCCCUCUGCCA